CGGUGAAUACGUACCCGGACCUUGUACACACCGCCCGUCAAGCCAUGGAAGCCGGGUGUACCUAAAGUCGAUAACCGCAAGGAGUCGCCUAGGGUAAAACUGGUGACUGGGGCU
rnacentral:rRNA from 1 species